rnacentral:rRNA from 1 species
ACACAUGCAAGUCGAAUGAUGAUCUCCCAGCUUGCUGGGGGUGAUUAGNNGCGAACGGGUGAGUAAUACGUGAGUAACCUGCCCUUGACUAUGGGAUAAGCCUGGGAAACCGGGUCUAAUACUGGAUACGACCUCCUGUCGCAUGGUGGGGGGUGGAAAGGGUUGNACUGGUUUUGGAUGGGCUCACGGCCUAUCAGCUUGNUGGUGGGGUAAUGGCUCACCAUGGCGACGACGGGUAGCCGGCAUGAGAGGGUGACCGGCCACACUGGUACUGAGACACGGACCAGACUCGUACGGGAGGCAGCAGUGGGGAAUAUUGCACAAUGGGCGCAAGCCUGAUGCAGCGACGCCGCGUGAGGGAUGACGGCCUUCGGGUUGUAAACCUCUUUCAGUAGGGAAGAAGCGAAAGUGACGGUACCUGCAGAAGAAGCGCCGGCUAACUACGUGCCAGCAGCCGCGGUAAUACGUAGGGCGCAAGCGUUGUCCGGAAUUAUUGGGCGUAAAGAGCUCGUAGGCGGUCUGUCGCGUCUGCUGUGAAAGCCCGGGGCUCAACCCCGGGUCUGCAGUGGGUACGGGCAGACUAGAGUGCAGUAGGGGAGACUGGAAUUCCUGGUGUAGCGGUGAAAUGCGCAGAUAUCAGGAGGAACACCGAUGGCGAAGGCAGGUCUCUGGGCUGUUACUGACGCUGAGGAGCGAAAGCAUGGGGAGCGAACAGGAUUAGAUACCCUGGUAGUCCAUGCCGUAAACGUUGGGCACUAGGUGUGGGGGACAUUCCACGUUCUCCGCGCCGUAGCUAACGCAUUAAGUGCCCCGCCUGGGGAGUACGGCCGCAAGGCUAAAACUCAAAGGAAUUGACGGGGGCCCGCACAAGCGGCGGAGCAUGC